rnacentral:rRNA from 1 species
AUUGAACGCUGGCGGCAGGCCUAACACAUGCAAGUCGAGCUAGCGGCGGACGGGUGAGUAAUGUCUGGGAAACUGCCUGAUGGAGGGGGAUAACUACUGGAAACGGUAGCUAAUACCGCAUACCAUCAGAUGUGCCCCUAUGGGAUUAGCUAGUAGGUGGGGGAAGGGCUCACCUAGGCGCCGAUCCCUAGCUGGUCUGAGAGGAUGACCAGCCACACUGGAACUGAGACACGGUCCAGACUCCUACGUGAGGCAGCAGUGGGGAAGAUUGCAAAAUGGGCGCAAGCCUGAUGCAGCCAUGCCGCGUGUAUGAAGAAGGCCUUCGGGUUGUAAAGUACGUUCAGCGGGGAGGCGUUACUCGCAGAAGAAGCACCGGCUAACGCCGUGCCAGCAGCCGCGGUAAUAC